rnacentral:misc_RNA from 1 species
UCCUGGUUUCCCAGGCAGUCCCGUCAGAGUGCUCCCGAAGGAUAGCAACUGACAGUAAGAGUUGCGCUCGUUAGAGGACUUAACCCAACAUCUCACGACACGAGCUGACGACAGCCAUGCAGCACCUGUGUACCCGUCCAAGAUUACUCUUGGAAAACCAUAUUUCUACAGCGGUCAAGUACAUGUCAAGCCCAGGUAAGGUUCCUCGCGUAUUGUCGAAUUAAACCACAUGUUCCACCGCUUGUGCGGACCCCCGUCAAUUCCUUUGAGUUUUAGUCUUGCGACCGUACUCCCCAGGCGGAUCACUUAACGCGUUAGCUUCGAUACCAAUUUUGCAAGCAAAACUGACAUCCAGUGAUCAUCGUUUACAGCGUGGACUAC